rnacentral:rRNA from 1 species
UACGUAGGCAGCAAGCGUUGUUCGGAGUUACUGGGCGUAAAGGGUGUGUAGGCGGUUUUCUAAGUUUGGUGUGAAAUCUCCCGGCUCAACUGGGAGGGUGCGCCGAAAACUGGAAAGCUAGAGUACUGGAUGGGAGAGUGGAAUUCCUGGUGUAGCGGUGAAAUGCGUAGAUAUCAGGAGGAACACCUGUGGUGUAGACAGCUUACUGGACCACGACUGACGCUGAGACACGAAAGCGUGGGUAGCAAACAGG